GUUUGGUCUCAACGGUCCAUAAUAAGGGACAUAACUCUUAGAGAUAACCUAGUUCCACAGAGCUAGUUCUCAAAAAAUACCAAACGUGCACGGUAACAGAAGAUGAAAAAAUAAAAUGGCACAGGUCGCCGAAUGAACUGCCCAGUCUUCUACUAAAGAAUUUUGUUGCAGAUUCGUUCAAACGGUGGGGAAAUAAAUAGAGUUUAACUUCCUAGGCUCACGAAGACGAACAAGCAUCACGUGUGCAAUGAAGGAAUUUUACCCAGACGGUGGCUUUUCCGUCUACUCUUGCCAAGAAUUAUAGGUGCGCACCAGGCCUAUCCCACGACUAGAUGCUGUGCAGGCGAAGAGAGAAGAACGAACAGUAAACGUAGAACUAGAAGAGAGUACAAGUGUACCACAGAUAACUUUUUACUUGCCAAUAAUAUUGCAUUCAAAUUCGGAUAUUAUUAUAAUAUGUGAAUCUUUUUAAUUGGGCAUAGUAGAAUAUCGACGUAAACAA